AACGCACAUUGCACUCCUCUGGAGUAUGCCUGUUUGAGAAUCUAUAGUAUUAAUUUCUCGUGAUUUCAUUCGUGGAAGAUCGGGGAGAUAUGAAGUUCCCAUCUUGAUGGGUUCUUUUAAAUAGAUUGCUACUAGUAAUACGAAAAUGCUUGACAUUUCUCUAUAUCUAUUAGAAAAGUAUGUGUAUGAAACUGUGGUUUCUCAUAAUGCCUAUUAUCUUAGAGGAGAUUUGAAGUUUUCAUAUGAACAGUUAGUCCACACCUAUAAAGGCGCAAGCCUUGAACCAUGGUCUCAAAUCAGGUAGGAAGACCCGCUGAACUUAA
rnacentral:misc_RNA from 1 species